GUUGUUGUAGUAUAGUGGUAAGUGUUCCUGCCUGUCACGCGGGCGACCCGGGUUCGAUCCCUGGUAAUGGCG
rfam:Gossypium raimondii chromosome 11, whole genome shotgun sequence.